rnacentral:rRNA from 1 species
GAACGAACGCUGGCGGCGCGCCUAAUACAUGCAAGUCGAGCGAGAAGACGUAGCAAUACGUUUGUAAAGCGGCGAACGGGUGAGGAAUACAUGGGUAACCUACCCUCGAGUGGGGAAUAACUAGCCGAAAGGUUAGCUAAUACCGCGUACGCUCCUUGGACUUCGGUUCAGGGAGGAAAGCGAUACCGUGGGUAUCGCGCUCUUGGAUGGGCUCAUGUCCUAUCAGCUUGUUGGUGAGGUAACGGCUCACCAAGGCUUCGACGGGUAGCUGGUCUGAGAGGACGAUCAGCCACACUGGCACUGCGACACGGGCCAGACUCCUACGGGAGGCAGCAGUAAGGAAUAUUGCGCAAUGGGCGAAAGCCUGACGCAGCGACGCCGCGUGGGGGAUGAAGGUCUUCGGAUUGU